GACGAACGCUGGCGGCGUGCUUAACACAUGCAAGUCGAACGGAAAGGCCCUGCUUUUGUGGGGUGCUCGAGUGGCGAAAGGGUGAGUAACACGUGAGUAACCUGCCCUUGACUUUGGGAUAACUUCAGGAAACUGGGGCUAAUACCGGAUAGGAGCUCCUGCUGCAUGGUGGGGGUUGGAAAGUUUCGGCGGUUGGGGAUGGACUCGCGGCUUAUCAGCUUGUUGGUGGGGUAGUGGCUUACCAAGGCUUUGACGGGUAGCCGGCCUGAGAGGGUGACCGGCCACAUUGGGACUGAGAUACGGCCCAGACUCCUACGGGAGGCAGCAGUGGAGAAUAUUGCACAAUGGGCGGACGCCUGAUGCAGCAACGCCGCGUGCGGGAUGACGGCCUUCGGGUUGUAAACCGCUUUCGCCUGUGACGAAGCGUGAGUGACGGUAAUGGGUAAAGAAGCACCGGCUAACUACGUG
rnacentral:rRNA from 1 species